rnacentral:lncRNA from 1 species
AAACCCCUAGGUUACCCUAGUGGACGAGUGUUGUCUCGUGAGAGUUUGCAGUGAAGUUACCCACAAACUUCAUUAGUCAGGGAUUUCUAAUGUUUUACUCAAAAUUUGAACAAGUAUUAUUGUAUGAACUUAGAAUUGCAAGGACAAUAAAGACUUAUUGCUAUCAUAUUUAAGCAGACUCUAACUCAAGUUCCAUUACUCCCCAUUUAUUUGCUAACAACUCAAGAAUGUAGUGAGGUGCAAGAUAGUAUCAUAUAAAUGAGUGGCUUUCACUUACUUCCACAUGAUCACUCUAAUUUUUAAGACUUUUUAGAGUUAAAUGGUAAUGAACACCCCAUAUUUAUUUAUUUAUUUAUUUAUUUAUUUUUAUUUAUCAGACUGAAUGCUAAGAAGAAUGACUUGUGCAAUAUCUAGCCUUGUUAAGUUUUCUAGCUGACCCAUGUAGCGAGUGUUAGGCCAAUGACUCCCGAUUCAGAUGGCUCAGGGCACUAGGUGUAGAGACACCCUAACAGGCUUAAUAACUCAAGUUAACUAGGCUUCAAGGCCAAAUUAGUCAUUCAGAGUUUAAUCUCAAUCAUUCUCACCUUUUUACGCGAACACUCGCUGCUUGCCAGGCAAGAGGCCCGGUUACUCAGUGAGAAGACUUAAAAUAAACUUAUUAUUUUAUUUUAUUUUAUCUUUUUUUUGAUUAGGGUGUUCAUCACAUAUAUAACUUUAAAUUAUCCCGAAGAUUAAAAGUAUUCAUUAUAGUUGCAAGUAUACAUACCUCACUAUUCAUGUGCUUACGUGUAGGUGCUAAAUCAUCUUGUAUCAUGUUAGCAGAAGAUAGGUGGGACGAAAACUCAAGCUAGAACUGCUAUCAUAUUCUUUAACUCAAAGCUAUUGUCAAAGCAAUUUCUAGUUUAUACAGCCAAAAAAAUUAGAGUUUGAGUUAAAAAUUUGAACUC